rnacentral:rRNA from 1 species
UACGUAGGGGGGCAAGCGUUGUCCGGAAUCAUUGGGCGUAAAGAGCGCGUAGGCGGCCCUGUAAGUCCGCUGUGAAAGUCAAGGGCUCAACCCUUGAAUGCCGGUGGAUACUGCAGGGCUAGAGUCCGGAAGAGGCGAGUGGAAUUCCUGGUGUAGCGGUGAAAUGCGCAGAUAUCAGGAGGAACACCGAUGGGCGAAGGCAGCUCGCUGGGACGGUACUGACGCUGAGGCG